CCUACGGGAGGCUGCAGUGGGGAAUAUUGGACAAUGGGGGCAACCCUGAUCCAGCCAUGCCGCGUGUGUGAAGAAGGCCCUCGGGUUGUAAAGCACUUUCAGUGAGGAAGAACGCCUGGUGGUUAAUACCCAUCAGGAAAGACAUCACUCACAGAAGAAGCACCGGCUAACUCCGUGCCAGCAGCCGCGGUAAUACGGAGGGUGCGAGCGUUAAUCGGAAUUACUGGGCGUAAAGCGCGCGUAGGUGGCUUGAUAAGCCGGUUGUGAAAGCCCCGGGCUCAACCUGGGAACGGCAUCCGGAACUGGCAAGCUAGAGUGCGGGAGAGGAAGGUAGAAUUCCCGGUGUAGCGGUGAAAUGCGUAGAGAUCGGGAGGAAUACCAGUGGCGAAGGCGGCCUUCUGGACUGACACUGACACUGAGGUGCGAAAGCGUGGGUAGCAAACAGGAUUAGAUACCCGUGUAGUC
rnacentral:rRNA from 1 species